rnacentral:rRNA from 1 species
AACGAACGCUGGCGGCAUGCCUAACACAUGCAAGUCGAACGAGACCUUCGGGUCUAGUGGCGCACGGGUGCGUAACGCGUGGGAACCUGCCCUUAGGUUCGGAAUAACUCCCCGAAAGGGGUGCUAAUACCGGAUAAUGUCUUCGGACCAAAGAUUUAUCGCCUUUGGAUGGGCCCGCGUUGGAUUAGCUAGUUGGUAGGGUAAAAGCCUACCAAGGCGACGAUCCAUAGCUGGUCUGAGAGGAUGAUCAGCCACACUGGGACUGAGACGCGGCCCAGACUCCUACGGGAGGCAGCAGUGGGGAAUAUUGGACCAUGGGCGAAAGCCUGAUCCAGCAAUGCCGCGUGAGUGAUGAAGGCCUUAGGGUUGUAAAGCUCUUUUACCCGGGAUGAUAAUGACAGUACCGGGAGAAUAAGCUCCGGCUAACUCCGUG